UACGUAGGGUGCGAGCGUUAAUCGGAAUUACUGGGCGUAAAGCGUGCGCAGGCGGUUCGUUGUGUCGGUGGUGAAAGCCCCGGGCUUAACCUGGAAAUGGCCAUGGAAACUGGCGAACUGGAGUGUGGCAGAGGGGGGUGGAAUUCCGCGUGUAGCGGUGGAAUGCGUAGAUAUCCGAAAGAACACCGGUGGCGAAGGCGGUGGUCUGGGCCGAAACUGACGCUGAGGCGCGAAAGCUAGGGGAGCAAACAGG
rnacentral:rRNA from 1 species